GUUCCGGGGUGAGGGCUUUGGGUCACCUCCCACCCGUGUUUAUUUACCUCGUUGCUUCGGCGGGCCCGCCUUAACUGGCCGCCGGGGGGCUCACGCCCCCGGGCCCGCGCCCGCCGAAGACACCCCCGAACUCUGCCUGAAGAUUGUCGUCUGAGUGAAAAUAUAAAUUAUUUAAAACUUUCAACAACGGAUCUCUUGGUUCCGGCAUCGAUGAAGAACGCAGCGAAAUGCGAUACGUAAUGUGAAUUGCAAAUUCAGUGAAUCAUCGAGUCUUUGAACGCACAUUGCGCCCCCUGGUAUUCCGGGGGGCAUGCCUGUCCGAGCGUCAUUGCUGCCCUCAAGCCCGGCUUGUGUGUUGGGCCCCGUCCUCCGAUUCCGGGGGACGGGCCCGAAAGGCAGCGGCGGCACCGCGUCCGGUCCUCGAGCGUAUGGGGCUUUGUCACCCGCUCUGUAGGCCCGGCCGGCGCUUGCCGAUCAACCCAAAUUUUUAUCCAGGUUGACCUCGGAUCAGGUAGGGAUACCCGCUGAACUUAAGCAUAUCAAAA
rnacentral:rRNA from 1 species